rnacentral:rRNA from 1 species
UUCCGGUUGAUCCCGCCGGAGGUCACUGCUAUCGGGGUUCGAUUAAGCCAUGCGAGUCGAGAGGGUUCGGCCCUCGGCGUACUGCUCAGUAACACGUGGAUAACCUGCCCUAAGGAAGGGGAUACUCCCGGGAAACUGGGGAUAAUACCCUAUAGGUUACAGAUGCUGGAAUGCUCUGUACCCGAAAGUUCCGGCGCCUUAGGAUGGAUCUGCGGCCGAUUAGGUUGUUGUCGGGGUAACGGCCCAACAAGCCAGUAAUCGGUACGGGUUGUGGGAGCAAGAGCCCGGAGUUGGAUUCUGAGACACGAAUCCAGGCCCUACGGGGCGCAGCAGGCGCGAAAACUUUACAAUGCGGGCAACCGUGAUAAGGGAACCUCGAGUGCCUGUAUAUGCAGGCUGUCUGGGUGUCUGAAACACACCUAAAGAAAGGGCCGGGCAAGACCGGUGCCAGCCGCCGCGGUAAUACCGGCGGCUCGAGUGGUGGCCACUUUUAUUGGGCUUAAAGCGUUCGUAGCUGGGUUAUUAAGUCCCUUGGGAAAUCCGACGGCUUAACCGUCGGGCGUCUAAGGGAUACUGGUAAUCUUGGAACCGGGAGAGGUGAGGGGUACUUCGGGGGUAGGAGUGAAAUCCUGUAAUCCUCGAGGGACCACCUGUGGCGAAGGCGCCUCACCAGAACGGCUUCGACAGUGAGGGACGAAAGCUGGGGGAGCAAACCGGAUUAGAUACCCGGGUAGUCCCAGCCGUAAACGAUGUGCGUUAGGUGUAUCGGUGACCACGAGUCACCGAGGUGCCGAAGGGAAACCGUGAAACGUACCGCCUGGGAAGUACGGUCGCAAGGCUGAAACUUAAAGGAAUUGGCGGG